rnacentral:misc_RNA from 1 species
GUCGAGCUCAACGACGGGCCGCCCUCCUCCCCAUUCGCCACAGCCCAUCUUGUUGUCAAUGUUCAACUGUGCGUGUCUGUCUGCGUGUCGAGAUGUGACACGGACCCCUUCCUGCGUGCCAAAGGACAAAGGAAAUAGGCACCGGUGGCGGCAGCGACAAGAAACGAACUGUCUUCGCCAUCACUGGGCCAGCUGAGAAGACACAGCUGCUGUGGCCGAGGUGGCGCAGUUCUCACAGGGCAGCCAGCAUGGAUCGCAGUGCAACAACAGCCGCCCGCAAAACCAGCAGCAGCAGUAGCAGCGCCCGCAAGCGUAGCGCCGACGACUAUUCGGCGAAUAGGAGAGACAAGGCGCCGGAGCAUAUCACUCUCACGGGCUUCAUGAGGUGCGCCCCAGCAAUGACUCUGGUGACGCGGCUGUCCGCUUCUUUUCGGUCGCCGACGAGUCGGUGGACGUUGUGGCGAAGGCAGCAAUCAAUUCUUUUGGCGGCUGCGUCGUCCGUAGCCGCCACUCGCGCCUGAGCAUGCGCCCACUCGUCCCGGGUCAGGCCCUGCCGUAGAGAGACAGCAACGGCGACGACGCUGGCAACACCCCGCUGGUGGUGAAGACGGGGCGGGAUGUGAAGGAAGAGGGGUACAGCUACAAGCACCUCUGGCGAGUGCGGUAUAGCAUCCCUCCUUCCAUCUGGAUCGACAGCAAGAGGGCGUCGCUGGUGAUGCUGAACCCGUGCAUAUUGGCCUUCAGUGACUGCAUCAAGUCGCGUUUGAAGGCUGGCUCGCUGCUAGGAGUCACUGGCAUCUCAAGCACGAAGGUAUUCCUGGGUCACCAGCUGUGCGGCAGCAUCAUAGUCGGGCAAGGCGCUGUUUGGAUGACCACCUGGGGCAUGCUCGUGUCCUUCUUCACUGGCUUCCGCUCCCUCCCGCUUAUGAUAGCCCACAUUACCAUUGAUCAGUUGAGGUGUCCGCACUCCUCGCCGUCUGUGUGAGCAUGACCGCCAACUUUGGCGCUGACUUCGUGUUCACCUCGUUCUUUGCGCUGUCCCAAGGCGUGUGUGCCGUACCCGCUGUUGAGGUCGUGCCGCACCGGCGAGCUCUUCGAGCGGGCGUGGCAGCAGGUAGCGACUAUCCGCACGAAUCACCGCGCUGGUGUGUGGUCGGAUCGCACCUCCCCCCUGCCAGCGUGGCAGGCCGCCGAAGUCGCCUGCGACGACCUCGAGGGCGGUGCUGCCUAGCAUCCGUGGGCUUCUCUUCUUUACCGUAAGAGGCCUGUGGCGUCUGCGCAACGAGCUGCACAACGACUGGCUGUCGCUGCAGGAGCAGCUGUUGGUCCUUCUGAGCGCCACAGGCACAGGCAGGCGCCGCUUUUCUCGUCUUCUGCUGCCAAGCGACGAAGCGAGUGUGAGCAGGGAAAGAUAAACGCGUCUCGGUCUUCGUCGUGCCCGUCCCCGGACCUCCUCUUCCUCACAGAUGGUGUGGAUGCUGCUCGUGUCUGUGUGUGUGUGUGAGUGUGUGUGUGUGUGUCAUGGCUGCUGGCCGGCGCUUCACCGCUGUCACCGUGGGACCCUCUUCUCCCAGCCUGUCCAACCCUCACUCGCUCGCCGCCACUCGCACCAGCUGCGCUUGCUGCAGCGACGCAGCUCUCUCUCUCUCUCUCUCUGGGUGCACGUACGCGUCACGGCUUCACCACCCCCAUCAACGGCACUCCUCCUCCACCCUCGACAUCCACGCACACAAACAACUGCUCCUUCUCUUUGUCCUUUUUGGUGCGUCACACCUGUUUCGCUCCUGCAACGCUGUGCGCCGACAUCCCCCGCUCUGCCUCGCAUCCCUCUCUUCGGUCUUCUCUGUCGCCCUCUGGCCUCGACGUUGCUGAGGGUUCACGCAG